UAAGCGGUGAUGAGCAGCUAACAUGUAAGAAAAUCCUGCUAGUAAUGGGAAUUUUCAAUGAAAUUCACUUGUUACGCUUGGCUUCUGAGCUCC